ensembl:lncRNA
AAAAAUUGGAAAUGGGCAAAUAUCCUAAUUUUUAAAUGGAUUAUUGAAACCAUAAACCAGUGAGGUGAAGGUUUAUUGAUCUCUGCUAUGAAUCUGAAAUGGAUGAUUAAAUUUUUUUAUUGAUUUUGUUUCAACAUAACAUAUAAAUGUUCAGUACAUUCCCAUUUUAUCCCUGGGCUCCCACUACUUAAAUCCUGAAAAAGAGUUAAGUAACAUAUUAAAAAGAGAUUAUUCUAGUAAUCCACCUUUAGUAGACUUGCUGGUAGGGAACUGAUUUAACUGUUCUGGAAAAGAGUUUGGAAGUUAGAAAAGUCACUAAUUUGUUGGUACCAUUAGCCCUAGCAUCACCAUGCUGGGCACAUAUCCCAAGGAGGUUAAAGAGAAAAAGAAAGGCUCCAUACAUGCCAAAAUAUUCAUAUCAGCACUUUUUGUGGUGGUGAAAAAUUCAAAACAAAGUAAGUUUCAAUCAAUUAGGGAAUGACUGAACAAAUUAUGGCUUAUAAAUUUAAUGGAAUAUUAUUGCAUCAAGAAGUUGCUAGAUCCCAGCUAAGCUAGAAAGAUUUCAUGUGAAAUGAGCAGAACCAGAGAACAAUUGUUACAAUGAUCGCAACUUUGUAAAGAAACACAAUUGUGAGAGGACUGAAGGACUCUCGUAAUGCAAUGACCAAACAUGGCUUCAGAAGGCUGAUAAGGAACAUAUUUCCCAGCUCAUGGCAGAGAUGUGCUAGACGAGUUGUACAGAAUGAGAUACAUUUUUCAGACAGGCUCAGUAUGUGGAUUUGUUUUCCUUCAUUCUGCUUAUUUGUUACAGGCCUGGGGGACAGAAACUUGCUCUUUGUUCCCUCCGGAAAAGCUCACCCACCCUCUCCUGGAGCUGGGACCCAACCAUAGAGAGGGCACACAUCCAACUUCUGGAUGGCAUGAAGCAAGCUGGGAUCACUCGGGUCAGGAGCCAACCAGAUUGGGGCGUGCUGAAAUAGGAGCUGAGUCUAACCAGAAGAGCCUCAUCCCAGGACCCAAGGAGGCCCAAGUGCAGACCUACCUAAAAAAUCCUUUGGGGGCUCAGCGAGGUUCCUGUGAAGGAAUUUCAUGGACCAAAGCUCAAAAUAAGCCACCCUUGGGACUUAGCUGUCCGAAAGAACCUGUUCAGUCCUUUGAGGCUGUUUUCUAAGAAAUAGAAGGGACUAAAAACGACCAGAAUUGCAGCCUGGGGGCCUGGGAGCCAGGGAGGAAAGGUAGAGGCCCGUUAGGAACUGCCCAAGAGGGGGAGGGGGGUUGGAGUCUCCUUCGAGUUUUCCAGCCAAAGAUGACCAUUUGUCUGCUGUGUUACAGGCUGGAUCCUUGCUGGGCUGGCUGUGGGUUGACCGACAUGGCCUCUGAAGUCAUUUCCAGCUGGGAGCCUCUGUUUCCUCUGCUCGGCAACCCACAGGUGCACUCCCACAGACAAAGCCAGCACCUGGGAAGUUGCCGUCCCCAUCCUCAUCCCCACCACCUCUCCUCAGCUCUCGUCCCCUCCCCCCCCCCCUUUUCUUUUCCCUUCCACUAGUGCUCCAUUCAGGGCUCAUUCCAGCUAGUGAGGAAGAAAGGGGAGGGGGAGGAAAGGAAGAGGGAAGGGAGCAAAGUUGGGGAAAAGCCCUGGUGGCCCCUUCCUCCCAGAGGGGGCAGAGCAGGGCCUGUGUGGCUUUGCCAGGCUCCCCCUCGCAUUUUUCUGGUGAAGUCUGGGGAGGAGAGGUAAGGGCUGCCUUGUUUCCCAAACUGCCUGAGACUUUCCUCACUUCAUCCCAGUUUCUUUGGGCAUUUUGAUCUGGGAUUGGUGGGGCUCCAGCUGCCUCUUUGGUGCCAUCGAGACCUAGAUGGGCCGGACCCCUCCCCCCUUCCCCUCUCCUCCCCUCCCCUCCCCCUCCCAGUCCAAAUCCGAGCAAGGAGGCAGCUUUUUUAAAUUCCAACUGAUGAGCUUUUGGGUCCUUUCUGGUCUGCAACCACCUCUUCCUGCCCCAACCCCCACCCGGUUUAAUGCCUCGGACCGGAUUCCUGAGCCAGCAGCGCUGGAGCUCGGGAGUUUUCUCCUCCAGAAGCACAAGACUGGCUGAUGACUGAGCUGAAGUUGUAAUGCAGGUACUCUGGCCUUCCCAGGGCUGAAGUCUCUGGCUGAGCCCUGACUGCCGACCUGGGCUUCUCCCCAAAGGGAGAGGUUGAGGUUGGAAUGGAGGAAGGAAGGGAACCUUGGUGGAGGGCGGAGGAUGACCCCCUGAUCUCCUGGAAGACACCCUCCAGGACUGGGGAGUAGAGCAGGGAGGGGAGCAGACACAAUGCCCUGAGCCUGGACCAGCAGGGACCCUCCCUCCGGCUCCAGGAGAGGCAGCCUAGGAGGACAGUAAAAACAGGAGGGGCCUCCCCGACACCCCUUUCCAUGUCCCGACCUGAAUUCCUGGAUGCUGUCCAUAAUCCUGAUUCAGGUCAAUUCAAGUGCCUACAAAGUGCCCUGCACUGUGCUAAGUACGGAGAGCCCAAACCAAAAAAAAAACCCACACCUUGGUCCUGAGGAGAAGCAAACAGCUAUGGACAUUCAAUGCAUAUGUGCCUGAUAAAUUGGAGAAAGGUGCUAGCAUGAAGGGAAAAGCCUUCUUGAAGGUGGGACUGGAGCUGGAUGUUACUGAACAUAUUGGCAGAAUAAUAAUAAUAAUAAUAAUAGUAUUAAUAAGAGUGAACAUUUCCAGAGUGCUUCAGCUGUGCCAGGCACUGUGCAAAGUCCUGGGGACACAGAGAAAUUAAAAAAAAAAAAAAAACCACCAAACAAAAAAACCCCACACCUUGGUCCUGAGGAGAAACAAACAGCUAUGGAUAUUCAAUGCAUAUGUGCCUGAUAAAUUGGAGAAAGGUGCUAGCAUGAAGGGAAAAGCCUUCUUGAAGGUGGGACUGGAGCUGGAUGUUACUGAACAUAUUGGCAGAAUAAUAAUAAUAAUAAUAAUAAUAAUAAUAAUAGUAUUGAUAAGAGUGAACAUUUCCAGAGUGCUUCAGCUGUGCCAGGCACUGUGCAAAGUCCUGGGGACACAGAGAAAUUAAAAAAAAAAAAAACCAAACCACCAAACAAAAAAAAAACCCACAUCUUGGUCCUGAGGAGAAGCAAACAGCUAUGGACAUUCAAUGCAUAUGUGCCUGAUAAAUUGGAGAAAGGUGCUAGCAUGAAGGGAAAAGCCUUCUUGAAGGUGGGACUGGAGCUGGAUGUUACUGAACAUAUUGGCAGAAUAAUAAUAAUAAUAAUAAUAAUAAUAAUAAUAAUAAUAGUAUUGAUAAGAGUGAACAUUUCCAGGAUGCUUCAGCUGUUCCAGGCACUGUGCAAAGUCCUGGGGACACAGAGAAAUUAAAAAAAAAAAACCAAACCACCAAACAAAAAAAAACCCACACCUUGGUCCUGAGGAGAAGCAAAACAGCUAUGGACAUUCAAUGCAUAUGUGCCUGAUAAAUUGGAGAAAGGUGCUAGCAUGAAGGGAAAAGCCUUCUUGAAGGUGGGACUGGAGCUGGAUGUUACUGAACAUAUUGGCAGAAUAAUAAUAAUAAUAAUAAUAGUAUUGAUAAGAGUGAACAUUUCCAGAGUGCUUCAGCUGUGCCAGGCACUGUGCAACGUCCUGGGGACACAGAGAAAUUAAAAAAAAAAAAAACCAAACCACCAAACAAAAAAAAAACCCACAUCUUGGUCCUGAGGAGAAGCAAACAGCUAUGGACAUUCAAUGCAUAUGUGCCUGAUAAAUUGGAGAAAGGUGCUAGCAUGAAGGGAAAAGCCUUCUUGAAGGUGGGACUGGAGCUGGAUGUUACUGAACAUAUUGGCAGAAUAAUAAUAAUAAUAAUAAUAGUAUUGAUAAGAGUGAACAUUUCCAGAGUGCUUCAGCUGUGCCAGGCACUGUGCAAAGUCCUGGGGACACAGAGAAAUAAAAAAAAAAACCAAACCA